GAAGUGGUAGUUUAAUUGGUAGAACGUUGUGCUACGGACACAUUCAUACAGGUUCAAGUCUUGUCCACUUCU